rnacentral:rRNA from 1 species
AGUGAACGCUGGCGGUAGGCCUAACACAUGCAAGUCGAACGGCAGCACAGUAAGAGCUUGCUCUUACGGGUGGCGAGUGGCGGACGGGUGAGGAAUACAUCGGAAUUUACUUUUUCGUGGGGGAUAACGUAGGGAAACUUACGCUAAUACCGCAUACGACCUAAGGGUGAAAGCAGGGGAUCUUCGGAUCUUGCGCGAUUGAAUGAGCCGAUGUCGGAUUAGCUAGUUGGCGGGGUAAAGGCCCACCAAGGCGACGAUCCGUAGCUGGUCUGAGAGGAUGAUCAGCCACACUGGAACUGAGACACGGUCCAGACUCCUACGGGAGGCAGCAGUGGGGAAUAUUGGACAAAGGGCGCAAGCCUGAUCCAGCCAUACCGCGUGUGUGAAGAAGGCCUUCGGGUUGUAAAGCCCUUUUGUUGGGAAAGAAAAGCAGCAGGUUAAUACCCCGCUGUUCUGACGGUACCCAAAGAAUAAGCACCGGCUAACUUCGUG